UACUUCCAGGCAGUCAGGGGUCUGCUGCUGAUUGGGCUCUGCCUCAGAUUGCUCGGGACUGUGCUCUCGGUUUUUGGGAAGGAGUGUACGUGGAUAGGCGGAGGGUUUAUGGAGGGGGCAGCGAAGUACCAAGGACUGGAUGCUGAUGGGAGUGUGGGCUGUCCAACUGCUGGGCUGUAAGAGGGAUCAGUUCUAGAAAACUCGAGCUGCUGUUGUGAAAACAAACUGCUACUCACUGGUUUGUCUCGUUUCCCCCUCUCUUCCGUCUCCACCAGGCAUUUCAGACGUGGCUGGUCACUGUUUAGACAUAAACAAAGUGACUUCAGCUGUUUUACACAUCAAAGCAGAUUAAUGAGGAAGGGUGCCAUGUUACAUGAGAACAUCAAGAUUAUGAAUAAACAUACUUUUCGAUCACAUCUCCUCAGCUACUAGAUCGGACCGCCUCUCUACCUCGGUUUGGUGGGGAGUCUCCUGUUGCUUGGCUGCACGGUUCACUGCGCAACUGCAUGCAGUUAUCCGCCCACAAAGGAUGAAGAACACGUCAGCAAAAAGAAGGAUUUCUUCUUACAAGAUGGCCGCCGUUGUCACGUAACAAAACCGCACUGAAACCGUCCAUGUUCGACUUACUCCAGAGCCAAAACUACGAACUCGAGAAUUCUACGGCCUCCAUCUGAAUCAUGAUACUGUCCCCACAGCAUGAUGGUGCCACUCCCAUGUUUAACUUUUGAGGAUGGAUUGACAAAGGUUUUGAUUAAUAUACAAGCAAAUUUUAAUUUUGAGUGGGGGGGAGGACUAAUUAAAAACUAGACAGUUUUCAUACCAAAAAUUUAGUUCAAAUAUAUCAAUUAAUUGAUAUCAAUUACUGCUGUAUAACCAGUUUUAUUGAGUUAUGCAACAGUAAAGUGAUCUAAAGCACUCAAAUGAGAGCAAAAAUUGACGAGUGGCCUAGUCAAAUCCCAUGAGAUGCCGAGGUCUGACGUUAAAGCAGCUUAAGGUCCUAAAACCUCCAUUAAGUUUAAAUGGGUUAGUCUAGAUAUCUUCUACACAUUAGUAAAUGGGUUUUUUUAUUCCAUAUUGUAUUUGCUCUGGUUAUUUUUUAUAUUUUUAUAUGUUUGAUCUGAAUCAUGUGAAACCAAAACAGACGCUGCAUUCCUCUGGUCUAGUUUGGUUAAACUAUUUCUGUGCAGCCACUUGGAAACUGUUGGAAGAAAAGCUAUAUAAAUAAAAAUUAUAUUGACAGUUU